GCUACCUAAACUAAACCAUACGCA
rnacentral:siRNA from 1 species